CAUAGGUUAAUGAGGCGAACCGGGGGAACUGAAACAUCUAAGUACCCCGAGGAAAAGAAAUCAACCGAGAUUCCCCCAGUAGCGGCGAGCGAACGGGGAGCAGCCCAGAGCCUGAAUCAGUGUGUGUGUUAGUGGAAGCGUCUGGAAAGGCGCGCGAUACAGGGUGACAGCCCCGUACACAAAAAUGCACAUACUGUGAGCUCGAUGAGUAGGGCGGGACACGUGGUAUCCUGUCUGAAUAUGGGGGGACCAUCCUCCAAGGCUAAAUACUCCUGACUGACCGAUAGUGAACCAGUACCGUGAGGGAAAGGCGAAAAGAACCCCGGCGAGGGGAGUGAAAAAGAACCUGAAACCGUGUACGUACAAGCAGUGGGAGCACGCUUAGGCGUGUGACUGCGUACCUUUUGUAUAAUGGGUCAGCGACUUAUAUUCUGUAGCAAGGUUAACCGAAUAGGGGAGCCGAAGGGAAACCGAGUCUUAACUGGGCGUUAAGUUGCAGGGUAUAGACCCGAAACCCGGUGAUCUAGCCAUGGGCAGGUUGAAGGUUGGGUAACACUAACUGGAGGACCGAACCGACUAAUGUUGAAAAAUUAGCGGAUGACUUGUGGCUGGGGGUGAAAGGCCAAUCAAACCGGGAGAUAGCUGGUUCUCCCCGAAAGCUAUUUAGGUAGCGCCUCGUGAAUUCAUCUCCGGGGGUAGAGCACUGUUUCGGCAAGGGGGUCAUCCCGACUUACCAACCCGAUGCAAACUGCGAAUACCGGAGAAUGUUAUCACGGGAGACACACGGCGGGUGCUAACGUCCGUCGUGAAGAGGGAAACAACCCAGACCGCCAGCUAAGGUCCCAAAGUCAUGGUUAAGUGGGAAACGAUGUGGGAAGGCCCAGACAGCCAGGAUGUUGGCUUAGAAGCAGCCAUCAUUUAAAGAAAGCGUAAUAGCUCACUGGUCGAGUCGGCCUGCGCGGAAGAUGUAACGGGGCUAAACCAUGCACCGAAGCUGCGGCAGCGACGCUGAUGCGUUGUUGGGUAGGGGAGCGUUCUGUAAGCCUGUGAAGGUGUGCUGUGAGGCAUGCUGGAGGUAUCAGAAGUGCGAAUGCUGACAUAAGUAACGAUAAAGCGGG
rnacentral:rRNA from 1 species